rnacentral:lncRNA from 1 species
CAGCAUCUCUGCUGUAACGUGACAUUUUCUAAGGCUUCCAUUGGCUAUCAGAAGGCGCCAGAAAGUGGAAUGACGUGUCUCCAGUCUCUGGGCGAAAAACAGCAGGAGAUUUUGUGAGUGGUCAGGCUGAGAACAGUGACACUGGAGAUGCGCGUUCAUGUGAAUUCUCCAUGUUUUUCUUUCUCUCUUUGAAUGAAUACAACGUCGCCCGGUUGGAAUAUUAUCGCUAUUUUACAAGAAAAAUCGCAUAAAAAAUGAUUUUAAACAGCGUUUGACAUGCUUCGAAGUACGGUAAUGGAAUAUUUAGACAUUUUUUGUCACGAAAUGCACUCGGAUACUGACCUGAACGCACAAACAGAACGGAGGUAUUUGGAUAAGACUAUGGAUUAUUUCGAACCAAAACAACAUUUGUUGUUGAAGUAGAAUUCCUGGGAGUGCAUUCUGAUGAAGACAGCAAAGGCUCUCAGAAGGCGCCAGAACAUUGAAUGAUGACUUUGCAGGCCAUGGCUGAAAAACAGUAGCGCAUUUGGACAAUGACCCAAAACACCUCCAGGCUGUCAGGGCUAUGUUACCAAAAGGAGAGUGAUGGAGUUCUGCAUCAGAUGACCUGGCCUCCACAAUCCCCCAACCUCAACCAAAUUGAGGUGGUUUGGGAUUAGUCGGACCGCAGAGUGAAGGAAAAGCAGCCAACAAGUGCUCAGCAUAUGUGGGAACUUCUUCAAACUGUUGGAAAAGCAUUCCAGGGGAAGCUGGUUGAGAGAAUGCCAAGAGUGUGCAAAGCUUUCAUCAAGAGGGUGGAUAUUUAAGGAGUCUGAAAUAUAAAAUAUAUUUUGAUUUGUUUAACACUUUUUUUCUUACUACGUGAUUCCAUAUGUGUUAUCUCAGUUUUGAUGUCUUCACUAUUAUUCUACAAUGUAUAAAUAAAGAAAAACCCUUGAAGGAGUAGGUGUUCUAAAACUUUUUACUGGUAGUGUAUAUAUUUUCGAAGAAGUGUUGAUCAUCAUUAUUUGGCCCAUAUAGAUUAAUUAGCCAGAUCUGUUUUUGGUCCAAUAGCAUAUUUAAAAUAAUCCAUCUUCCUUGCGGAUCUGUUUGCACAGUUUGCACAAUCGGAUCAACAUUUGUAUUAAUUAGUUUAAUCACCCC